CCACCGCCCCCACCAGCUUCCCCGUCCACAGAGAAGAGAAAAAAGAACGAGUGGAUCUCUGUCGCUUUCGGCAAGCGCCUCUCGCAUCUCCUCCUUCCUCCUCCUCCUCCUCCUCCUCCUGCCCGCCCCCGCCCCCACAAAAUGCUCGCUUCCAAUACCGCAUUUUCCCAGAAUAGCCACCUCCCCCUAGCGCUUCAUCCUCGGCCCGUCCAUUUUCCAGCAUGUCUCUGACCAUCAGACUCCACCUCGCCGCCGCCUCCGCCGCCGCCGCGCCUCGCCCCGCCUCUCGCCGCCGAGAGACCGGCCGAGCGAAGCUCAGGAACGCCAGGCCCGGAGCAAUUUACCACGCCGACCCAUUGUCGCACCUCGCCCGCCGGCCCAAGAUGCUGGGUCGUGAUGCCGUCAGGACCUCCCCCUCCUCCGUGAUCAGGAGCUCCCUCAUCGACCCCGACGGCGGGGCCCUCGUCGACCUCGUCGUGCCGGAGAGAGAUCGGGCCUUGAGGGCCAAGGAGGCCGCGGCGCUGCCCCGGGUGGGGCUGACGCGGAUCGAUCUGGAGUGGGUGCACGUCAUCGGCGAAGGGUGGGCCAGCCCGCUGAAGGGUUUCAUGAGGGAGGAGCAGUACCUGCAGAGCUUGCAUUUCAACUGCCUGCGGAUGCCGGACGGGUCGGUCGUCAACAUGUCGCUCCCCAUCGUCCUGGCCAUCGACGACGGGACCAAGGACGCCAUCGGGUCGUCCCGGGACGUGGGGCUGGUCGGCCCCGAUGGGGAUUUGGUCGCGGUUCUUCGGAGUAUUGAAAUCUACAAACACAACAAAGAAGAAAGAAUAGCGAGGACUUGGGGGACAACCGCUCCCGGAUUGCCGUAUGUUGACGAGGCGAUAACUCCUGCUGGGAAUUGGCUCAUUGGUGGAGAUUUGGAAGUAUUGGAACCGAUUAAAUACAAUGAUGGGCUUGAUCACUACAGGCUUUCGCCUAAACAAUUGCGCAAAGAGUUCGACCGCCGUCAGGCUGAUGCCGUCUUCGCUUUUCAGUUAAGGAAUCCUGUGCAUAAUGGGCACGCAUUGUUGAUGAAUGAUACAAGGAGGCGUUUGCUGGAAAUGGGCUUCAAGAAUCCAAUCCUGUUGCUUCAUCCUCUUGGAGGUUAUACAAAAGCUGACGAUGUUCCUUUGAAUGUCUGGAUGGAACAGCAUAGCAAGGUCCUUGAAGACGGUGUUCUUGAUCCCAAGACCACUGUUGUGUCCAUAUUUCCAUCUCCAAUGCAUUAUGCUGGUCCAACUGAGGUACAGUGGCAUGCAAAGGCACGGAUAAAUGCUGGUGCCAAUUUCUAUAUAGUUGGUCGAGAUCCGGCUGGGAUGGGGCACCCAACAGAGAAGAGGGAUCUGUAUGACCCUGAUCAUGGGAAAAAGGUGUUGAGCAUGGCCCCGGGCCUUGAGAAGCUCAAUAUAUUGCCAUUCAAAGUGGCUGCAUACGACACAGUGGAGAAGAAAAUGGCAUUUUUUGAUCCUUCGCGUGCUAAGGAUUUUCUCUUUAUAUCUGGUACCAAGAUGAGGACUUAUGCAAGAAAUGGCGAUAACCCUCCUGAUGGAUUUAUGUGCCCUGGAGGAUGGGAGGUACUGGUCAAGUACUAUGAGAGUUUGCAAGCGGAGGAGACUAAACAGCAAGCUGCUGUUUUAUCCACAUAGGCCUGUAACUAAACAUGGCGGUAUUCAAGCGAGAUGACUUUGCACCAGGGAGAAAAAAUGCAAUCACUGCAGGCAAUUGUCUGAGAUUGGGGUACUUAAAAUUUGUUAGAGAAAGGACUCAACGAUAUGAAGAUUGCAGGGCUCGUAUCGAUGGCCUUCUCAAUGAGCAUCUGGCUUUAUAAGCUGUGAGACCGAGUUGCUGUAAGUAGCAUCAGCCUCUCCUAUAAUUGACCCAAUUCUAUAUUGUCACUUGUGUCUCAUCAACUGGUUAAUGAUUCUGUCACCCUGAGCUGUUGGUUUAUCUCCCUUGGAUUUGGAGAAUAUGAUUUUGACGUAGUAUCA